rnacentral:rRNA from 1 species
GAGUUUGAUCCUGGCUCAGAUUGAACGCUGGCGGAAUGCUUUACACAUGCAAGUCGAGCGGCAGCGCGGGGCAACCUGGCGGCGAGCGGCGAACGGGUGAGUAACAUAUCGGAACGUAUCCUGAAAUGGGGGAUAGCCCGGCGAAAGCCGGAUUAAUACCGCAUAUGAUCUCCGGAUGAGAAUCUGGGAAUGAAAGCAGGGGACCGCAAGGCCUUGCGUUUCUGGAGCGGCCGAUAUCUGAUUAGCUGGUUGGUGGGGUAAAGGCCUACCAAGGCGAUGAUCAGUAGCUGGUCUGAGAGGAUGAUCAGCCACACUGGGACUGAGACACGGCCCAGACUCCUACGGGAGGCAGCAGUGGGGAAUUUUGGACAAUGGGCGCAAGCCUGAUCCAGCCAUUCCGCGUGAGUGAAGAAGGCCUUCGGGUCGUAAAGCUCUUUCAGCCGGAAAGAAAUGGUUACGGUGAAUAGCCGUGACUACUGACGGUACCGGAAGAAGAAGCACCGGCUAACUACGUGCCAGCAGCCGCGGUAAUACGUAGGGUGCGAGCGUUAAUCGGAAUUACUGGGCGUAAAGCGUGCGCAGGCGGUUUGUUAAGACAGGUGUGAAAUCCCCGGGCUCAACCUGGGAAUGGCGCUUGUAACUGGCAAGCUAGAGUGCGUCAGAGGGAGGUAGAAUUCCACGUGUAGCAGUGAAAUGCGUAGAGAUGUGGAGGAAUACCGAUGGCGAAG